rnacentral:rRNA from 1 species
GACGAAGGAUGCAAGCGUUAUCCGGAUUCAUUGGGUUUAAAGGGUGCGUAGGCGGACUUGUAAGUCAGUGGUGAAAUCUCUUUGCUUAACAAAGAAACUGCCAUUGAUACUGCAGGUCUAGAGUAUAGAUGACGUUGGCGGAAUAUGACAUGUAGUGGUGAAAUGCGUAGAUAUCGGAAGGAACACCGGUGGCGAAAGCGGCGCGCUGGACCUCAUCUGACGCUGAGGCACGAAAGCCAGGGGAGCAAACGGG